rnacentral:rRNA from 1 species
GACGGCGCGAGCAGGUGCGAAAGCAGGUCAUAGUGAUCCGGUGGUUCUGAAUGGAAGGGCCAUCGCUCAACGGAUAAAAGGUACUCCGGGGAUAACAGGCUGAUACCGCCCAAGAGUUCAUAUCGACGGCGGUGUUUGGCACCUCGAUGUCGGCUCAUCACAUCCUGGGGCUGAAGUAGGUCCCAAGGGUAUGGCUGUUCGCCAUUUAAAGUGGUACGCGAGCUGGGUUUAGAACGUCGUGAGACAGUUCGGUCCCUAUCUGCCGUGGGCGCUGGAGAACUGAGGGGGGCUGCUCCUAGUACGAGAGGACCGGAGUGGACGCAUCACUGGUGUUCGGGUUGUCAUGCCAAUGGCACUGCCCGGUAGCUAAAUGCGGAAGAGAUAAGUGCUGAAAGCAUCUAAGCACGAAACUUGCCCCGAGAUGAGUUCUCCCUGACUCCUUGAGAGUCCUGAAGGAACGUUGAAGACGACGACGUUGAUAGGCCGGGUGUGUAAGCGCAGCGAUGCGUUGAGCUAACCGGUACUAAUGAACCGUGAGG